rnacentral:rRNA from 1 species
UGACUGCGUACCUUUUGUAUAAUGGGUCAGCGACUUAUAUUCUGUAGCAAGGUUAACCGAAUAGGGGAGCCGGAGGGAAACCGAGUCUUAAUUGGGCGUUAAGUUGCAGGGUAUAGACCCGAAACCCGGUGAUCUAGCCAUGGGCAGGUUGAAGGUUGGGUAACACUAACUGGAGGACCGAACCGACUAAUGUUGAAAAAUUAGCGGAUGACCUGUGGCUGGGGGUGAAAGGCCAAUCAAACCGGGAGAUAGCUGGUUCUCCCCGAAAGCUAUUUAGGUAGCGCCUCGUGAAUUCAUCUCCGGGGGUAGAGCACUGUUUCGGCUAGGGGGCCAUCCCGGCUUACCAACCCGAUGCAAACUGCGAAUACCGGAGAAUGUUAUCACGGGAGACACACGGCGGGUGCUAACGUCCGUCGUGAAGAGGGAAACAACCCAGACCGCCAGCUAAGGUCCCAAAGUCAUGGUUAAGUGGGAAACGAUGUGGGAAGGCCCAGACAGCCAGGAUGUUGGCUUAGAAGCAGCCAUCAUUUAAAGAAAGCGUAAUAGCUCACUGGUCGAGUCGGCCUGCGCGGAAGAUGUAACGGGGCUAAACCAUGCACCGAAGCUGCGGCAGCGAACGUAUCACUUAAAGCGAUUCAGCGGGUUACGAUUGACGGAGCGAAGCGACGUCAAAGCGUAUACAAAGUCGAGUCGGUUUAAGGAUACGUUCGUUGGGUAGGGGAGCGUUCUGUAAGCCUGCGAAGGUGGCCUGUGAGGGUUGCUGGAGGUAUCAGAAGUGCGAAUGCUGACAUAAGUAACGAUAAAGCGGGUGAAAAGCCCGCUCGCCGGAAGACCAAGGGUUCCUGUCCAACGUUAAUCGGGGCAGGGUGAGUCGACCCCUAAGGCGAGGCCGAAAGGCGUAGUCGAUGGGAAACGGGUUAAUAUUCCCGUACUUGGUGUUACUGCGAAGGGGGGACGGAGAAGGCUAUGUUGGCCGGGCGACGGUUGUCCCGGUUUAAGCGUGUAGGUGUGUGUUCCAGGUAAAUCCGGUUCACUUUAACACUGAGGCGUGAUGACGAGGCACUACGGUGCUGAAGCAACAAAUGCCCUGCUUCCAGGAAAAGCCUCUAAGCAUCAGGUAACAUCAAAUCGUACCCCAAACCGACACAGGUGGUCAGGUAGAGAAUACCAAGGCGCUUGAGAGAACUCGGGUGAAGGAACUAGGCAAAAUGGUGCCGUAACUUCGGGAGAAGGCACGCUGACAUGUAGGUGAAGUGAUUUACUCAUGGAGCUGAAGUCAGUCGAAGAUACCAGCUGGCUGCAACUGUUUAUUAAAAACACAGCACUGUGCAAACACGAAAGUGGACGUAUACGGUGUGACGCCUGCCCGGUGCCGGAAGGUUAAUUGAUGGGGUCAGCGCAAGCGAAGCUCCUGAUCGAAGCCCCGGUAAACGGCGGCCGUAACUAUAACGGUCCUAAGGUAGCGAAAUUCCUUGUCGGGUAAGUUCCGACCUGCACGAAUGGCGUAAUGAUGGCCAGGCUGUCUCCACCCGAGACUCAGUGAAAUUGAACUCGCUGUGAAGAUGCAGUGUACCCGCGGCAAGACGGAAAGACCCCGUGAACCUUUACUAUAGCUUGACACUGAACAUUGAGCCUUGAUGUGUAGGAUAGGUGGGAGGCUUUGAAGCGUGGACGCCAGUCUGCGUGGAGCCGACCUUGAAAUACCACCCUUUAAUGUUUGAUGUUCUAACGUGGACCCGUAAUCCGGGUUGCGGACAGUGUCUGGUGGGUAGUUUGACUGGGGCGGUCUCCUCCUAAAGAGUAACGGAGGAGCACGAAGGUUGGCUAAUCCUGGUCGGACAUCAGGAGGUUAGUGCAAUGGCAUAAGCCAGCUUGACUGCGAGCGUGACGGCGCGAGCAGGUGCGAAAGCAGGUCAUAGUGAUCCGGUGGUUCUGAAUGGAAGGGCCAUCGCUCAACGGAUAAAAGGUACUCCGGGGAUAACAGGCUGAUACCGCCCAAGAGUUCAUAUCGACGGCGGUGUUUGGCACCUCGAUGUCGGCUCAUCACAUCCUGGGGCUGAAGUAGGUCCCAAGGGUAUGGCUGUUCGCCAUUUAAAGUGGUACGCGAGCUGGGUUUAGAACGUCGUGAGACAGUUCGGUCCCUAUCUGCCGUGGGCGCUGGAGAACUGAGGGGGGCUGCUCCUAGUACGAGAGGACCGGAGUGGACGCAUCACUGGUGUUCGGGUUGUCAUGCCAAUGGCACUGCCCGGUAGCUAAAUGCGGAAGAGAUAAGUGCUGAAAGCAUCUAAGCACGAAACUUGCCCCGAGAUGAGUUCU